GAAAUGCGAUAAGUAAUGUGAAUUGCAGAAUUCAGUGAAUCAUCGAAUCUUUGAACGCACCUUGCGCUCCUUGGUAUUCCUUGGAGCAUGCCUGUUUGAGUAUCAUGAAAUCUUCAAAGUAAAUCUUUUGUUAACUCAAUUGGUUUCUACUUUGGUAUUGGAGGUCUUUGCAGCUUCCCACCUGCUCCUCUUUGUUCAUUAGCUGGAUCUCAGUGUUAUGCUUGGUUCCACUCGGCGUGAUAAGUUAUCUAUCGCUGAGGACACUGUAAAAGGUGGCCAAGGUAAAUGCAGAUGAACCGCUUCUAAUAGUCCAUUGACUUGGACAAUACUUUUAUGAUCUGAUCUCAAAUCAGGUAGGACUACCCGCUGAACUUAAGC
rnacentral:misc_RNA from 1 species